rnacentral:tRNA from 1 species
AGUAAAAUAAGCUAACUCUAAGCUCUUGGGUUCAUACCCCAAACAUGUCGGUUAAAAUCCUUCUUUUACUA